UACGUAGGGUGCAAGCGUUGUCCGGAAUUAUUGGGCGUAAAGAGCUCGUAGGCGGUUUGUCGCGUCUGCUGUGAAAACUCGGGGCUUAACCCCGGGCCUGCAGUGGGUACGGGCAGACUAGAGUGCGGUAGGGGAGACUGGAAUUCCUGGUGUAGCGGUGAAAUGCGCAGAUAUCAGGAGGAACACCUAUUGCGAAGGCAGCUCGCUGGGACGUUACUGACGCUGAGACGCGAAAGCGUGGGGAGCAAACAGG
rnacentral:rRNA from 1 species